AUUGAACGCUGGCGGCAUGCCUUACACAUGCAAGUCGAACGGUAACGGGCCUUCGGGUGCCGCCGAGUGGCGAACGGGUGAGUAAUACAUCGGAACGUGCCCGAUCGUGGGGGAUAACGAGGCGAAAGCUUUGCUAAUACCGCAUACGAUCUACGGAUGAAAGCAGGGGACCGCAAGGCCUUGCGCGGACGGAGCGGCCGAUGGCAGAUUAGGUAGUUGGUGGGAUAAAAGCUUACCAAGCCGACGAUCUGUAGCUGGUCUGAGAGGAUGAUCAGCCACACUGGGACUGAGACACGGCCCAGACUCCUACGGGAGGCAGCAGUGGGGAAUUUUGGACAAUGGGCGCAAGCCUGAUCCAGCCAUGCCGCGUGCAGGAUGAAGGCCUUCGGGUUGUAAACUGCUUUUGUACGGAACGAAAAGCCUUCUUUUAAUACAGGAGGGACAUGACGGUACCGUAAGAAUAAGCACCGGCUAACUACGUG
rnacentral:rRNA from 1 species